UUCACGUCUGAAGAAAACCAAUUUAUAUUUACUUCAGCAAUUGCUGUAGGCUAUAACUUUAACAAAUCAGUCGGAGACAUUUUAUAAGCGUGAGCCAACUACAGUGUGCAUCCUGCAAACCAGUAAAUGCAGAUAGAAGACUGAGAGGCAAUAUUCUGCUCAGCACAACAUCCAUCUCAGCACACCCUUAAGCUUUGAACAAUGGAAGGCGUGAAUUCUGAACAUUUUUUAGGCAUGUCAAUUCGAUGGCUGCUGCUGGUGUAUAAUUCCUUCCCGAGGAGAGGGAUCAUGACUUGGGAGCUGCAACAGUAACUUGAACAUUUCAUUUAAGCAUGAGAAUGAACAUCUUCCAAAGAAGACACCUUCAUUCAGUCCUUGGAAUGCUAAGUGAAAUGUACAUUUAUAAUGUAUCAUGUUAAGGUACUAACCUGCUUCUAUAUCACCCAAAAAUGAAUUCAAUUUGAAAUCCUUUAACUCAAA